rnacentral:miRNA from 1 species
AAUGUGACAUCGCUUUACCAUUCAUGUUCACUGAAGGGCAGAUUUCAGAAAACAUGAAUAGUACAGCGAGUCACAU